rnacentral:rRNA from 1 species
GUGGGGAAUAUUGGACAAUGGGCGCAAGCCUGAUCCAGCCAUGCCGCGUGAGUGAUGAAGGCCCUAGGGUUGUAAAGCUCUUUCACCGGUGAAGAUAAUGACGGUAACCGGAGAAGAAGCCCCGGCUAACUUCGUGCCAGCAGCCGCGGUAAUACGAAGGGGGCUAGCGUUGUUCGGAAUUACUGGGCGUAAAGCGCACGUAGGCGGACAUUUAAGUCAGGGGUGAAAUCCCAGAGCUCAACUCUGGAACUGCCUUUGAUACUGGGUGUCUUGAGGAUGGAAGAAGUAAGUGGAAUUCCGAGUGUAGAGGUGAAAUUCGUAGAUAUUCGGAGGAACACCAGUGGCGAAGGCGGCUCACUGGCUCGAUACUGACGCUGAGGUGCGAAAGCGUGGGGAGCAAACAGGAUUAGAUACCCGGGUAGUCC